AUUGAACGCUGGCGGCAUGCUUUACACAUGCAAGUCGAGCGGCAGCGCGGGGCAACCUGGCGGCGAGCGGCGAACGGGUGAGUAAUGGAUAGGAACGUGUCCGGGAGUGGGGGAUAACUAGCCGAAAGGUUAGCUAAUACCGCAUAUUCUCUGUGGAGGAAAGCAGGGGACCGCAAGGCCUUGCGCUUCCGGAGUGGCCUAUCUCCGAUUGGCCAGUUGGUGAGGAAAAGGCUUACCAAGGCGACGAUCGGUAGCUGGGCUGAGAGGAUGAUCAGCCACAAUGGGACGGAGCAACAGUCCAGACUCCUACGGGAGGCAGUAGUGGUGAAUUUUAGACAAAGCAAUGAACACUGAUCCAGCAAUGCCGCGUGCGAGAAGAAGGGCUUCGGGUUGGAAACCGCUUUUAUUCGGAAAGAAGGAGUGCAGGUUAAUACCCACCAUGACGGACGGUACCGAAUGAAUAAGCACCGGCUAACUACGUGCCAGCCGCCGCGGUAAAAC
rnacentral:rRNA from 1 species